CUCAGAACGAACGCUGGCGGCGCGUUUUAAGCAUGCAAGUCGAGCGGUAACUACCCUUCGGGGUAGCUAGAGCGGCGAACGGGUGAGUAACACGUAGAUAAUCUGCCUUGAGGUUGGGGAUAGCCUGUGGAAACACAGGGUAAUACCGAAUAAGCCCUAUGGGGGAAAGGUGCUAAGGCACCGCCUUAAGAUGAGUCUGCGGCUCAUUAGUUAGUUGGUGGGGUAAUGGCCUACCAAGGCGACGAUGAGUAGCCGGCCUGAGAGGGUGGACGGCCACACUGGGACUGAGACACGGCCCAGACUCCUACGGGAGGCAGCAGCUAAGAAUCUUCCGCAAUGGGCGCAAGCCUGACGGAGCGACGCCGCGUGAACGAAGAAGGCCGUGAGGUUGUAAAGUUCUUUUCUUACUGAAGAAUAACCGUUGCAGGGAAUGGCAGCGGGAUGACGUUAGGUAAGGAAUAAGCCCCGGCUAAUUACGUGCCAGCAGCCGCGGUAACACGUAAGGGGCAAGCGUUGUUCGGAAUUAUUGGGCGUAAAGGGCGUGUAGGCGGUUUUACAAGUCUGGUGUGAAAUACCGCAGCUUAACUGCGGGGACGCGCUGGAAACUGUAAGACUAGAGUACAGGAGGGGGACCUGGAAUUCCUGGUGUAGGGGUGAAAUCUGUAGAUAUCAGGAAGAACACCGGUGGCGAAGGCGAGGUCCUGGCCAUGUACUGACGCUGAGGCGCGAAAGCGUGGGGAGCGAACCAGGAUUAGAUACCCUGGUAGUCCACGCCGUAAACGAUGUGCACUAGGUGCUUGGGGGUAGCCUUGAGUGCCGUAGCUAACGCGUUAAGUGCACCGCCUGGGGAGUAUGCUC
rnacentral:rRNA from 1 species